GGAGUCGGGGACCCCCGGUUAGAGGGGAGAUCGGGGACCUCCGGUUAGAGGGGGAGUCGGGGACCCCCGGUUAGAGGGGGAUCGGGGACCCCCGGUUAGAG